rnacentral:rRNA from 1 species
UACGUAUGGUGCAAGCGUUGUCCGGAAUUAUUGGGCGUAAAGAGCGUGUAGGCGGCUCGGUUAGUCCGCUGUGAAAGUCCAGGGCUCAACCCUGGAAUGCCGGUGGAUACUGUCGAGCUAGAGUCCGGAAGGGGCGAGUGGAAUUCCUGGUGUAGCGGUGAAAUGCGCAGAUAUCAGGAGGAACACCAAUGGCGAAGGCAGCUCGCUGGGACGUGACUGAUGCUGAGACGCGAAAGCGUGGGGAGCAAACAGG